ACGGAGGGUGCAAGCGUUGUUCGGAAUCACUGGGCGUAAAGAGCGUGUAGGCGGCUGGCUAAGUCUGGUGUGAAAGCCCGGGGCUCACCCCCGGAAGUGCGCUGGAAACUAGUCAGCUAGAGUAUGGGAGAGGGAAGUGGAAUUCCUGGUGUAGCGGUGAAAUGCGUAGAUAUCAGGAGGAACACCGGCGGCGAAGGCGGCUUCCUGGACCAAUACUGACGCUGAGACGCGAAAGCGUGGGGAGCAAACAGG
rnacentral:rRNA from 1 species